UAUCGAUUCAAGCAUAUCUGGCUCACGCGAGAAAACCCUACGCAUGAAGAAUAUAUUUUUCAUUUAUAUAUACAAGAUCCAAUAAGAAGAUUUCAGAUGUAAGGAAUUAACUUAGCGCAAUAAAACAAGUCACGUGACCAUGUGUCAAACAUCAUGUUAUUAUCGAUGUGAUAAUUGAUUAAAUCGAGAUAAAAAGAAAUCGAUUCUAUAAAUUAAAAAGGGAAUUGCUAAUUCGUAAAGUGAAUUUUAUAUAAUUACAUAUACCUUGACAAUCAUUAUAACGAGAAACGUGUAAUUAGAAAAAAAAAAAGAAAAGAAUAAAGGAAAUUGUUCCUUUAAAAAGGUAUAGUCACGCUCAGUGAAAUUGCGUAGUAGUAAGCGUAGGAAGAAUCGUACGUUCGUUUUCUCGUUUAUUAUUGCGACAGAUAAACUUUUUCUUCUUCCUCAAAAAUAUCCUUAUCUGACUCUCGAUAAAUAAUCCCAAAACUGUUUUCUUCCGUUAUCUCAAGUCGCGUCUUUUUCACCGAGGAAGAGAGGAUAUCUUCGAGGCUGUGUCGGAAAAGAGAACACGCAUAGGUGCAACAAGUUAAAAAGCACACUCACCGAGCUCGUUGUUCGCAACACUCGAGUCGAGAUGCUGUAGUACGCAGAAGGCCAGCAACAGGAUGUACAGCCAUCGUCGGUUAGCUCCGUCACAGCCACGGUUAAAGCACCACCGUUGUUCACACGCCAUAUUUACGAAGCUGCUAAAACUCUCCUGCGCUACACGAAUAUAAAUCCGUGCGCUUCGGGUCCCGUCUGCCUCGCGCGACCGACCAGACGAGACGAUGACGGAAAGACGAGCAGAGAGAGGGGGUAUGGAAAAACGACGGAGAUGAAAGAACAGAUGAUAGAAAAAGACAGAAACAGUGGGAAAUAAAAA